rnacentral:rRNA from 1 species
GAAGGUGUGCUGUGAGGCAUGCUGGAGGUAUCAGAAGUGCGAAUGCUGACAUAAGUAACGAUAAAGCGGGUGAAAAGCCCGCUCGCCGGAAGACCAAGGGUUCCUGUCCAACGUUAAUCGGGGCAGGGUGAGUCGACCCCUAAGGCGAGGCCGAAAGGCGUAGUCGAUGGGAAACAGGUUAAUAUUCCUGUACUUGGUGUUACUGCGAAGGGGGGACGGAGAAGGCUAUGUUGGCCGGGCGACGGUUGUCCCGGUUUAAGCGUGUAGGCUGGUUUUCCAGGCAAAUCCGGAAAAUCAAGGCUGAGGCGUGAUGACGAGGCACUACGGUGCUGAAGCAACAAAUGCCCUGCUUCCAGGAAAAGCCUCUAAGCAUCAGGUAACAUCAAAUCGUACCCCAAACCGACACAGGUGGUCAGGUAGAGAAUACCAAGGCGCUUGAGAGAACUCGGGUGAAGGAACUAGGCAAAAUGGUGCCGUAACUUCGGGAGAAGGCACGCUGAUAUGUAGGUGAAGUCCCUCGCGGAUGGAGCUGAAAUCAGUCGAAGAUACCAGCUGGCUGCAACUGUUUAUUAAAAACACAGCACUGUGCAAACACGAAAGUGGACGUAUACGGUGUGACGCCUGCCCGGUGCCGGAAGGUUAAUUGAUGGGGUUAGCGCAAGCGAAGCUCUUGAUCGAAGCCCCGGUAAACGGCGGCCGUAACUAUAACGGUCCUAAGGUAGCGAAAUUCCUUGUCGGGUAAGUUCCGACCUGCACGAAUGGCGUAAUGAUGGCCAGGCUGUCUCCACCCGAGACUCAGUGAAAUUGAACUCGCUGUGAAGAUGCAGUGUACCCGCGGCAAGACGGAAAGACCCCGUGAACCUUUACUAUAGCUUGACACUGAACAUUGAGCCUUGAUGUGUAGGAUAGGUGGGAGGCUUUGAAGUGUGGACGCCAGUCUGCAUGGAGCCGACCUUGAAAUACCACCCUUUAAUGUUUGAUGUUCUAACGUUGACCCGUAAUCCGGGUUGCGGACAGUGUCUGGUGGGUAGUUUGACUGGGGCGGUCUCCUCCUAAAGAGUAACGGAGGAGCACGAAGGUUGGCUAAUCCUGGUCGGACAUCAGGAGGUUAGUGCAAUGGCAUAAGCCAGCUUGACUGCGAGCGUGACGGCGCGAGCAGGUGCGAAAGCAGGUCAUAGUGAUCCGGUGGUUCUGAAUGGAAGGGCCAUCGCUCAACGGAUAAAAGGUACUCCGGGGAUAACAGGCUGAUACCGCCCAAGAGUUCAUAUCGACGGCGGUGUUUGGCACCUCGAUGUCGGCUCAUCACAUCCUGGGGCUGAAGUAGGUCCCAAGGGUAUGGCUGUUCGCCAUUUAAAGUGGUACGCGAGCUGGGUUUAGAACGUCGUGAGACAGUUCGGUCCCUAUCUGCCGUGGGCGCUGGAGAACUGAGGGGGGCUGCUCCUAGUACGAGAGGACCGGAGUGGACGCAUCACUGGUGUUCGGGUUGUCAUGCCAAUGGCACUGCCCGGUAGCUAAAUGCGGAAGAGAUAAGUGCUGAAAGCAUCUAAGCACGAAACUUGCCCCGAGAUGAGUUCU